rnacentral:lncRNA from 1 species
ACUAUUUGUCCUUGAAUUAAGCAAUGAAGAAGACAACUUUCUACACUUAGAGUAAAUGCAAACAAUUACUUUUCUGGGUCCUCACUGAUUUUUCCAUUUAUCUGCUUCACCUCUCCUCUCUUUCCUUUCUGUUUUCUUCUCUCUCUUUCUCUCUUUCCUUUUCUUUCCCUUUAAUUCUGGCCCCAAAGUAUGGGCUUGGCCAGAGGAAAUACUCAGAAUGAAGGAUUGCAUCUUCCGACCAGAAGCAGGUGCUGAGGAUGGAUAUGACAUCAAAACAGAAGGGAAAUACCAAUUAUUUUGAUGGAAAUUAUUUGAAGGCAUUGGAAUACAAAUCUGUGUGAAGUGAGUUAAAUCUCCGCAAGGCCAAGAUACACUGUGUUUAAUUACACCUUCAUGGAAACUCAAUUAUAUCCUUCUUGCUGAUAGAAAACUGAAUUCCUUAAAAAUUAAAUGAAUUAAAAUUUGUGUAUGACAGGACUAUUAUACCCAUAACAGUUCCACUGCAAGUACAUGAGACUGUCAUGGCAAUAACUGAAAAACUAAAGGAGAUGUCUAUGUAGACAGCUGCUCAUUUACUGCCUGAGGCUCAGAAUCAAUCAUAACUCCAGGUGAACUGAAUCCCUCAGAGCACCAAGGGAAACCUGAGAAGCAUUCCAGGAGACCUCCGUUUGACUGGCUUUUCGGAUAUAUAUAACACAGGCUGAAGUGUGCUGUCAAAACUCAUCAUUUAAGUAUUGUAAACUCCAUUAAAAUAUUCCUUUAAAAGAGAAAGAGCUGCAGACUUGAUACAGGAAGGAUCUCUUCCAUGAUUCUGGGAUUUGGAGCUCAGGUGGUACAACGGUGAUGAAGAUGGAGAUGUGGACGUGGCCAGUGUAAACAUGGUGACUUAGCAGGGAGGACUGAUGAGUGAGGAGAGAGCAGAUGUAAUUGAAAGAGGAGAGGACUAGCCUCAGUACCCUGUGAAACAUUAGCAUUGACUACUGGGCAGGGAAGGAAGAAGCCUCGAAGGGACCUCAGAGGAGUGGUCUCUAUCCCACAGGAGUGUAUACUUUCUUUCCAGUUCUCUUUGGAUCUUUGACAAAGGAAAAUAAAAUCUAUUGUUAAGCAUUAACCAUCUCUCAAGAUAUGUUUUCCAAAAUUGUGUCUUUCCUUUAAAAUAUUCCCCAAUGCCUUCUAUUUAUUUUUUUGGGAAUUUUCUGUGAAUACUUGACCAACAUUUAUUGAGCACCUACUGUAUAGGCCCUAUCACAAGUAACAGUCACUUACACUUGCAUUAUCUCAUAUAAUGUUCACUGUCAAUGUAGAUGGGAAAUUGAUGCCCACACUGACAACGGUCCUGGAUCACAUAGCAGUAGGAAGACAGGGCCAGAAUUUGAACCUGUAUUUUCUGAAUCCUGUGAUCUUUCCACGAUGGUUGGUUGGUAUGGCUAUUUGAUACAUAUAUUGGUCAUAAAAUAUAUGUUCUUAUAUCCUUCUCAAAAGUUUAAGAUUGAUGGCUUGUGCAACCAGUCAUGUUACUACACAGUGAUACUUGAGAGUAUUGUAAAAGGCAUCAAAUAUCUAACCCUCCCAACAGAUGUCUCUCUGGCUUAUGCAGAACCUGUAUGACAAGGGACCAGAGAUAUGUGUUGGGUGAUUAUCCUCUGAACUCAGUCUCUACAAAUUUCAGUGUUUAGA